rnacentral:rRNA from 1 species
ACAUACGGCCAUAGGCAGUAGAACACACACACCGCGUCCCGUUUGCUCCGCUGAAGUUAGCUAUUGACCGGCAGAUUAGUAGUUGGGUCGGUGACGACCAGCGAACACCGGCUGCUGUAUGUA